CCCAAACUCAAUGGGAGACUCACCAUCAGCCUGAACAGAGAUGAUCUGAAGUAAGAAGAAGAAGACAGAUCCCACUCCCAGGAGAAAGCUUCUUAAAAUUUUUUCCCUUAGAAAUUUGAAGCGGGGCAGAAAUGUUCAGUCUGGCAAGAAACUAUGAGCUACCAGAAGCAGAAAUAAGGAGCUGACCCUUCUCACUGCCAGAAGUCCUGGUGUCCUCAAAGGCAAGGUGUAGGCAGCCACAGGCAUGAUCUGAGAAUGAAGAACUUGUGUAGUAUUGGUUUUGGUCUCACAAAAGUGACUCAAGCUCAGGAACUCCUGUAUGAGAAAUUCAAGGAUGUAAGUAACACCGUAGCAGUAGAAGUUUUUAAAACACCAACAUUUGAUGAAUUUGGGAAGAUGAUGCUCCAGUCCUGUUGACUUUAAAAUAUUGUGACCUUCUUCCUCUCCUGUAUACCCAUACAGGCAUAUGAAUCUACAGGCAGAAAACUUGCAGGAAUGAACAGUUUGUAGAAUGACCUGGCUUCUUCCUGCCAUCCCAUCUCAAAGGCAAAGGAAGUCUGUAAGUGUGGAAAGAAAAAGAAGAGUUGUAGGCAUCUAUUGUCAAAAACCCAAAAGAAGUGAAAGGAAAAUGAAAACCUGAUUUAUAGGGUUCUGCUGCACUUUGGAACUGACUACAGAUCAUGACUAUGGAAACACCAGCAACAAACCAUUUUCUAACAAUGAGCAGGAGGAGUCAGAAGGUUGACUCAUAAGUCAGCACCUACUCAGUUACCUACUACUGAUUUCUUCAGAGGUCUCAAUAUCUUUUGCAAUUUUUCCAGUUUUAAAACUUUCAGCCAAAAUGUCCACACACAGCUGCUGUACAGGCAAUCUUAUGGGCAAGUACACCUGUCCCCAAACUGGACACAGACAGGAUAGAACUGUUUGGUUUGAAGAAGCUGAAAGAGUUAUUUCAAUGACAGGUUUAGGUAAUUUGCUCUAUAAUUUGUAGCAGAGGUUUGGACUGUCUGUAUUACUUCUAACUACAGGGAAAAUAAUAACUGUUAAAUUUAACAGCAUCUCUGAGAAUAUGAAUGCAUGGUGUAAAGUUGUGGCAUACCGAGUGAGAGUAGUUUUAGUAACAUUUUAAUUAAACAGCUACUGUGAAUGCCAAAUCAUGUGCUCUUAAAUUGAUGAAAUUCAAGGAAAAUACAUUACAGCUACAUCUACCUGUGACCACACCUCGUGUGAGCUGAAGUAUGAUAUAUACUGGGAUCUGACUAGUCUGAGUGCUAUACAAGAGCUGACUUAUUCUUUGGUUACUUUAAAAUUGUCAGAAAACACCUCGGUUUUGACGGGAAAUAACUUUUAAUAAAGGAUA